rnacentral:rRNA from 1 species
AUACGGAGGGUGCAAGCGUUACUCGGAAUCACUGGGCGUAAAGCGCGCGCAGGCGGGCUGAUAAGUUGGAUGUGAAAGCCUACGGCUCAACCGUAGAACUGCAUCCAAAACUGUCAGUCUAGAGUGUGGGAGAGGAAGAUGGAAUUAGUUGUGUAGGGGUAAAAUCCGUAGAGAUAACUAGGAAUACCAAAAGCGAAGGCAAUCUUCUGGAACACUACUGACGCUGAGGUGCGAAGGCGUGGGGAGCAAACAGGAUUUGAUACCCGAGUAGUCC